UUUUUCUUUACUUUUUAAAUUAUAUUCAUUCUUCACAGACUGCUCAGAGAUUACUACCUACAUCAGGCCUUCCCAGCCACACCCUCAGAAUUCUUAAACAUUACUUAUUUUUUAAAUUGUAUUGCGUUUAAUAAAUUAUAAUUGUAUCUACUUAUGAGGUAAAAAGUGAUACUGUGAUAUAUGUAUACAAUGUAGCAUGAUUGAAUCAAGCUAAUUAACAUAUCCAUUAUUUCAAAUACUUAGCAUUUCCACUGUGCCUACACUGCAGAUUGGUUGAAUGUACACGUACCACCCAUUUUUAUUCUUUUUUGUUCAACAUUUACAGGCCUGCUUCCACCGAGGGACUGAAGGCUCUUUGAGCAAAAUUAUCUACCUGUUCACCUUUGGAUCUUUCACAGUUCCCAGGUGUCUUACUGGAAGGCUGUGGGCCGAUGCCAGGUGACAUGAUAGACAAUUACUGGACUAAUUUGCAAAGCGCAUUUCUGAAGUCACAUUUUUUGCUUGACAUGGAUUCCAUCUUCACAGAGAAGGUAGCAUUUGAUUCACAUUUUGUUUCUUGUUUACAGUGGUCUGGCAUCAGUUA
rnacentral:lncRNA from 10 species